CUGGACCGUAGAAUCCCAGUUUGAUCUGAACCGUUGACGGUGCUAAAACCCUAAUUGACAUUUGUUGAAUCAAACUUUAUGACGACUUUCAAUUUAGUAUUAUUAUUUACGCAUGGGAGUUGACCGUGUUCAAGUUGUUAACUCUGCUAUCACAAGUGCUGAAAUCAGGUAGGUAUUUUUUGGGGAUAAUUUCAAUAACAUACAAUCCAGCAUAAAGUAUUACAUCCACAUAGCCAUUUUUUUUAUUUACAUCCGUAUAGCUACUUUUUUUUUUUUUGCAGCUGUGUUUAUUAUACACACGAUAUACAACAUUAUACAUUUACUGUAGACAAUGUAUAAACAUGUAUAAAAGUGUAUAAUGAUGUAUAAAAAGGCCAUUUCGGGUAAUAUUAGAAAUAUGAGCCAUUUCGGUUAGAUGAUCUCCAAAUAGACAUAGCGUGUUAUUUUUCUUUGGGAUAAUUUUAAUAAUAUACAAUCCAGCAUAAACUAUUACAUCCAAAAAGCCAUAUUUUUCAUUUACAUCCAAAUAGCCAACUUUUUUUGCACGUGCGUUUAUACACACGAUAUACAAUAUUAUACACUUACUGUAGACAAUGUAUAAACCUGUAUAAAAGUGUAUAAUGAUGUAUAAAAGGGCCAUUUCGGCUAAUAUUACAAAUAUGGGCCAUUUCGGGUAAAUAUUUUCUCCAAAUGGACAGAGUAUUAUUUUCCCUUCUUUUUAUGAUGGUGUACGAAUCAAUGAAAAUAAGACCUAGCUUGCUUGCUUUUUAUUGUCUAUGUGCAGCUAGAUGGCCGAUGCUGCCUCUAUUUGGAGGGUUUCCUAUCAGAAGGGCAUGCAGAUCUUCAAGUUCGUGAUUGCAAUUUGGAAUAUGACUAGAUGUCAUAGCUGGCAAUGACUAUUGGUGGGCCGGUUUUAGUUUCAUUGCCCUUGCCUGUACGUCUGGUUGGGUUCUGCUUUUAUCGGGCAUUCAAUACUCAUGUGCCCCCUUUUUAAUUAUCUAUAUUGGUGGCAUGCUUGUUCAUGGUACUGCAGUGCACUCUGUUUGUUAUUGGCAUCGCGAGUCAUACCCAUACCGGUUAAUUGGUGCCAAGGCGAAACUUAUGAUCGAGGUCAUUCCUAUGAUAGUUGCAGCAGCCAUAAGGGUUUUCACUGAUGAUGAUAGGUAUCUCAUUAUUCUACUGCUAGGCUGCACCUCAUAUUUCUACAGCUUUGCCCACUUCCUGCACGUAGCAUAUGAUAUUGGAGGAAAAGACAUAUUUUUGGGAUUAUCGAUGUUGCUUCUUGUUCACAGGCUAAGUGAAAAAUUGUUAGUUGGUGCUUCGGCUUUGAGCUUCUGCCUUUGUUUAAGUUUCUAUAGAUACAUGACAUAUUGUGCUCCUGAAUUACCUAUUCAUCCUACUAAAAAGGAGCUGCCUGUUUGAUCACAAGGUGUUAGGAAUUGUGUACCUUUACAGUAUCUCCUAAGUUGUAAGUUAUUUUCUAUGUUGCUUCUAGUGUGAGAGCCUCUUUUUUGGCCAACUUGUGAUGAGUCAUUGGCUCAAAACUUAUUUGUUGUAGCUUUAUCUUGUGCCCUUAACAGUACUGAAUAUAAAUAAAUUGGAGAGAAGGAAAAACAUUUAGAAACAACAA